ensembl:antisense Gm44012 predicted gene, 44012
GCUGAUGUCGUACAAGGAGCUGGCACACUGUAGGAAAGGGAGAGUGAGUACAGGGAGGGAGGCUGAGAAAAACAAAAGGAAUCUGAGAAAGCUGUUCUGAUGACCUCCAUCACUCCGAGAUUCUGCUGAAAGCUGGAGCCAAGAUACACCCAGAGGAAAGAGAAAUGAACCUAAGAUUCCAAAGCAACAGCCUGUUUGCGGAAGCUCAACAGUAACAUCAGGGAAAUCAUUGAAUCCUUCAGAGUCCUUCAGAACACUGCAAAAACAGAAUUCCACCGCGAUGACAAUGAAGACAACUAUGCCUGGGCUCCAUGCGCCUGGCAGAGUAAACUGCAUUAUUUGACUUAAGUCUAAGCCUAUCUGUUAUGGAGAUACUUUUGUUACUUUCACCACAUUAGAGAAAAAUAAAUUAGCAUAUAAAGAU